UACGGGGGGAGCAAGCGUUGUUCGGAUUUACUGGGCGUAAAGGGCGCGUAGGCGGCCACCGCAAGUCGACUGUGAAAUCUCCGGGCUUAACCCGGAAAGGUCAGCCGAUACUGCGGGGCUAGAGUGCAGAAGGGGCAACUGGAAUUCUCGGUGUAGCGGUGAAAUGCGUAGAUAUCGAGAGGAACACCAAUGGCGAAGGCAGCUCUCUGGGACGGUACUGACGCUGAGACGCGAAAGCAUGGGGGAGCGAACAGG
rnacentral:rRNA from 1 species